GUCUUUUUGAAAUAAUUUAAAGUCUAAUCUGCCCACUGAUAAAAAAUUAAAGGGCUGCAGUAUAAUGACUGUACAAAGGUAGCAUAAUCAGUAGUUUUUUAAUUGAAAACUUGUAUGAAAGAUUUGAUGAAAUAUAGACUGUCUCUAAUUUAUAGAUUGAAUUUUAUUUUUUAGUAAAAAAGCUAAAAUAAAUUUAAAAGACGAGAAGACCCUAUAGAGUUUUAUAUUUAAUUUUAUUUUAAAAUUAUAUAAAAAUUAAUAUUAAAAAUAAAAUUAAAUAUUAUAUUGGGGUGAUAGAAAAAUUAAAUUAACUUUUUUUAAAAAUUAAACAUAAAUAAAUGAUUAUAUGAUCCAUAGAUAAUGAUUAUAAGAAAAAAUUACCUUAGGGAUAACAGCGUAAUAUUUUUUUUUAGUUCAAAUAAAAAAAAAAGUUUGCGACCUCGAUGUUGGAUUAAGAUAAAAUUUAAAUGCAAAAGUUUAAAAAUUUUGAUCUGUUCGAUCAUUAAAAUCUUACA
rnacentral:rRNA from 1 species